ACCAGCAGCCAUAUCACUCUGCAACUCACAACUGGCAACCCUCUGAAGCUCAGCAGGUGUGAGCCUGGUCAGUACCUGGAUGGGAGACCUUCUGGGAAAAACUAAGGUUGCUGCUGGAA
rfam:Lepisosteus oculatus linkage group LG2, whole genome shotgun sequence.